ACCACCUGGCGACAGGGAGCGGAACCCGAAAGCCUGUCUCAGUUCGGAUUGGAGCUGCAACCCGACUCCAUGAAGCUGGAUUCGCUAGUAAUCGCGCAUCAGCCACGGCGCGGUGAAUACGUUCCCGGGCCCUUGUACACACCGCCCGUCACACCAUGGAAGUCGGUAAUGCCCGAAGUCAGUAGCCUAACCGCAAGGAGGGCGCUGCCGAAGGCAGGAUUGAUGACUGGGGUGAAGUCGUAACAAGGUAUC
rnacentral:rRNA from 1 species